AGAGCGAACGCUGGCGGCAGGCCUAACACAUGCAAGUCGAGCGCCCGUAGCAAUACGGGAGCGGCAGACGGGAUAGUAACACGUGGGAACGCGCCCUUCGGUUCGGAAUAACUCAGGGAAACUUGAGCUAAUACCGGAUACGCCCUUACGGGGAAAGAUUUAUUGCCGAAAGAUCGGCCCGCGUCUGAUUAGCUAGUUGGUGAGGUAACGGCUCACCAAGGCGACGAUCAGUAGCUGGUCUGAGAGGAUGAUCAGCCACAUUGGGACUGAGACACGGCCCAAACUCCUACGGGAGGCAGCAGUGGGGAAUAUUGGACAAUGGGCGCAAGCCUGAUCCAGCCAUGCCGCGUGAGUGAUGAAGGCCCUAGGGUUGUAAAGCUCUUUUGUGCGGGAAGAUAAUGACGGUACCGCAAGAAUAAGCCCGGCUAACUUCGUGCCAGCAGCCGC
rnacentral:rRNA from 1 species